rnacentral:rRNA from 1 species
GAUGAACGCUGGCGGCGUGCCUAAUACAUGCAAGUCGAGCGAACGGACGAGAAUCUUGCUUCUCUGAUGUUAGCGGCGGACGGGUGAGUAACACGUGGAUAACCUACCUAUAAGACUGGGAUAACUUCGGGAAACCGUAGCUAAUACCGGAUAAUAUUUUGAACCGCAUUGUUCAAAAGUGAAAGACGGUCUUUCUGUCACUUAUAGAUGGAUCCGCGCUGCAUUAGCUAGUUGGGAAGGUAACGGCUUACCAAGGCAACGAUGCAUAGCCGACGUGAGAGGGUGAUAGGCCAAACUGGAAGUGAGACACGGUAAAGACAACUACGGGAGGAAGCAGUAGGGAAUCGUCCGCAAUGGGCGAAAGCAUGACGGAGCAAAGCCGCGUGAGUGAUGAAGGACUUCGGAUCGUAAAACACUGUUAUUAGGGAAGAACAUAUGUGUAAGUAACUGUGCACAUCUUGACGGUACCUAAUCAGAAAGCCACGGCUAACUACGUG